AGAGGCCGGCCCUCCUGAUCCACACCCGGGCGGCUCCCACACCACCCUGCAGCAGGCCUGGCCACUGGCCUCAGCCCUUGCGGGAGAAGACCAGCCAGGUGGAAGAUGGAGAGGGCUUCUGAACUGAGCCCUGGAGGGGAGCUGGGGGCCCCCAUCAAGCAGAUGAGCCCUGGGACCCAGCUGGCUGACCCGCCAGAUCAUGGUGACAAGGACUGCUUGGGAAGGAUAAGCCCAGGAUCAGGAAAGUAAAUUCAGGCUGCAGGACAGCUGCCUGGGCUCCCCGACAAGUUUGACAUCAGCCCAGGGAACACUGAGGAGCCUCACUCCAUGGGGAAUGCAAACACAUGAACACAGCGAACCUGAAGAUAUGGGCAUCUUCAGGCUGCUGCUGAGGUGGUCCUGCUGUAUCCAACCCAGAACCUCAUCACUGAAAGGGAACUCACGGGCAGGCUAGAGUGCAGUGGCAUGAUCUCGGUUCACUGAAACCUCUGCCUCCCCAGUUCAAGCAAUUCUCCUGCUUCAGCUUCUCAAGUAGAUGGGACUACAGACAUGAUCUUACUCUGUCACUCAGACUGGAGUGCAGUGGCAUGAUCUUGGCUCACUUCAACCUCAGCCCACCUCAGGCUCAAGUGAUCCUCCCACCUCUGCCUCACUAAGUAGCUGGGACCAUAGGCAUGUGCCACCAUGCCCAGCUAAUCUUUCGUAUUUUUAGUAGAAACAGGGUCUCACCAUGUGGCCCAGGCUGGCCUUGAGUUCCUGAACUCAAGCGAUCUGUCUGCCUCAACCUCCUGAAGUGCUGGGUUAGAGGCGUGAGCCACCACACCCGGCCCCCAGUGGCUUCUAACCCACCCUAUCUAUCCAUCAGCCUGGAUGGGGUGGGCUUGUUCAGUGUCCUUCAGAAUCCCUCAUCAAGUAGCUUCUUUGUGUAUGAUGGUGUCCCACAAGAAGCGCUGUGAGCAGUGUUUGCCUUGGGUCAUCACUGUAGUCUCCUGCCUCCAGGAAAGAUCAGUUUCCACAAACCCUCUGGCUGAAACAAACCACUUACCUGGCUGCAGUGAAGACACUGAGGCCGCAACUGAAGCUGGAGUCACAGGAAACAUCUGGACCUCCUGGGAGAGGAAGAGGAACAAGCAGUCAUGAAAAGCUGUCAGGUCUCUUGAAUAAACAAGACCCCUGUGACAAGCGCACACACAACUCUCCAGUGCCCCAAACCUUGAUUUGGGCUCUUCAAAAGGACCAUGGCUCUGGAGCCCUGAGGAUCCAAUGCCCAGUCAUACUCCAAAGCUCUUGGGAUAGACCCCACGCUUGUAAGUUUGAAGGCACAGUGAUCUCCCAAGGAGGGGACACCAGUGCUGAACACAUCCAGCCAAUCUCGGAGGGGAUCACGGGCCUGAGGGGAAUGAAUAUUUAAAAUGAAAGAUACUACCGUCAGGAAAAUGCAAAUGAAAACUACAAGAUAUUACUGGACACCCAUCAGGAUGGCUAAAAGAUAGAUAAUUACAAGUGUUGGUGAGGCUAUGGAGAAACCGGAACCCUCGUACAUCACUGGUGGGAAAGUAAAAUGAUGCGAGCUGCUUUGGACAACAGUCUGGCCAUUCCUCAAAAGGCUAAACACAGAGUCAACACAUGACUCAGCAGUUCCAUUCCUAGGUAUAUACCAAAGAGAAAUGAAAACUUAUGGCCACAUGAAACCUGGUACAUCAGUUGUGUUCACAUCAGCAUUAUCUACAAUAGCCAAAAAGUAGAAGCAACCCUAAUGUCUAUCAGGCGAAUGAAUGGAUAAAUAAGGUGUGGUAUAGCCACACAAUGGACUAUGAUUUGGCAAUAAAAAAGAAUGAAGUACUGAUGUGUAUGCCACAACAUGAAUGAACUUUAAAAGCAUUGUGUUAGCUGAAAGAAGCCAAUCACAAAAGACUACGUAUUGUAUGAUUCCCUUUCUCGAGUGUUUAGAACAGGCAAACCUAUGGAGAGAUAAAGUAGCCUGGUGGUUGCCUAGGACUGGAGGAGACAGGGGAGUAGGGUAUAAUGGCUAAGAGAUUCUUUCAAGGGCACUGAAAAUAUUGUAAAAUUGCUUGUGGUGAUGGUUACACAACCCUGUGAAUCUACAGAAGUCACUUAAUUGUACACUUGAUGCUGGGUGGAUUGUGUGGUAUAUGAAUUCUAUCUCAAUAAAGGGCUUAAAAA